rfam:Gossypium hirsutum cultivar TM-1 chromosome 13, whole genome shotgun sequence
UAUAAAAAAAAUUCAUCCAUUUGUAUUGUUAAAAUCUGGUGUGAUUGUGAAAUAAUCAGACAGUGACAUAUGGCAUGUCAUGUGUACCUCAAGCUGACAUAUAAAGACGAGCUUUUAAUACUAGAAAUUGAUGAAAUUUUUAAUA